rnacentral:lncRNA from 1 species
AGUUGAGGAGAACGAAAAUGAGAAUCGGUAGGUGCCACAACUCUUGAAUAACCGAGUAAGCAUUGAAAAAAAAAUUAGAAAAGAGAAACAUUUGUUUUGUGAAUACGAUGUGAAAAAAAAUGAAAAUGAAUGCUUGCUUGGAAGAAAAAUAGUGAAAAACAAAAUUGAGUUGUGAAAUAAGAGUUGUGAAGGUUUCAAAUGAGAAACAAGUGGAACGAAGUUGAGAUGUGUGAAUAGCUUGUACAGUGAAUGUCUCUUUUGCAUCGGCAAGUUCGUUUUCAAUGGCCUUAGAUAUGACCCUUGUUUGUAAACCUGACCAAGCUACAACCGGAAAAGACC